rnacentral:rRNA from 1 species
AGGACGAACGCUGGCGGCGUGCUUAACACAUGCAAGUCGAACGAGGCGCUUGCGCCUAGUGGCGAACGGGUGAGUAACACGUGAGCAACCUGCCCUUGGCUCUGGGAUAGCCUCCGGAAACGGGGAUUAAUACCGGACAUGACCUUCUCCUGCAUGGGGGAGGGUGGAAAGUUUUUCGGCCAGGGAGGGGCUCGCGGCCUAUCAGCUUGUUGGGGGGUAACGCCCACCAAGGCGACGACGGGUAG